rnacentral:rRNA from 1 species
GAUGAACGCUAGCGGGAGGCCUAACACAUGCAAGCCGAGCGGUAUUUGUUCUUCGGAACAGAGAGAGCGGCGCACGGGUGCGGAACACGUGUGCAACCUGCCUUUAUCUGGGGGAUAGCCUUUCGAAAGGAAGAUUAAUACCCCAUAAUAUAUUGAGUGGCAUCAUUUGAUAUUGAAAACUCCGGUGGAUAGAGAUGGGCACGCGCAAGAUUAGAUAGUUGGUGAGGUAACGGCUCACCAAGUCAAUGAUCUUUAGGGGGCCCGAGAGGGUGAUCCCCCACACUGGUACUGAGACACGGACCAGACUCCUACGGGAGGCAGCAGUGAGGAAUAUUGGACAAUGGGUUAGCGCCUGAUCCAGCCAUCCCGCGUGAAGGACGACGGCCCUAUGGGUUGUAAACUUCUUUUGUAUAGGGAUAAACCUACUCUCGUGAGAGUAGCUGAAGGUACUAUACGAAUAAGCACCGGCUAACUCCGUG